ACUAAUUUAGUAUAAAUUAGUACAGGUUACUGUUAAUAACCAAGUAUUUUGCAGAAUAAUUAGUG
rnacentral:tRNA from 1 species